UGGGGAAUUUUGGACAAUGGGCGAAAGCCUGAUCCAGCAAUGCCGCGUGUGUGAAGAAGGCCUUCGGGUUGUAAAGCACUUUUGUCCGGAAAGAAAUCCUUGGCUCUAAUACAGUCGGGGGAUGACGGUACCGGAAGAAUAAGCACCGGCUAACUACGUGCCAGCAGCCGCGGUAAUACGUAGGGUGCAAGCGUUAAUCGGAAUUACUGGGCGUAAAGCGUGCGCAGGCGGUUUGCUAAGACCGAUGUGAAAUCCCCGGGCUCAACCUGGGAACUGCAUUGGUGACUGGCAGGCUAGAGUAUGGCAGAGGGGGGUAGAAUUCCACGUGUAGCAGUGAAAUGCGUAGAGAUGUGGAGGAAUACCGAUGGCGAAGGCAGCCCCCUGGGCCAAUACUGACGCUCAUGCACGAAAAGCGUGGGGAGCAAAACAGGAUUAGAUACCCUGGUAGUCCACGCCCUAAACGAUGUCAACUAGUUGUUGGGGAUUCAUUUCCUUAGUAACGUAGCUAACGCGUGAAGUUGACCGCCUGGGGAGUACGGUCGCAAGAUUAAAACUUAAAGGAAUUGACGGGGUCAUAGCUGUUUCCU
rnacentral:rRNA from 1 species